GUCAGAUAAGUCAGUGGUGAAGCCAUCGCUCACGGUGGAACGGCCAUGAUACUGUCUGACUUGAAUUAUUAGGAAGUAACUAGAAUAUGUAGUGUAGCGGUGAAAUGCUUAGAGAUUACAUGGAAUACCAAUUGCGAAGGCAGGUUACUACUAAUUGAUUGACGCUGAUGGACGAAAGCGUGGGUAGCGAACAGGAUUAGAUACCCUGGUAGUCCACGCCGUAAACGAUGGAUACUAGCUGUUGGGAGCAAUCUCAGUGGCUAAGCGAAAGUGAUAAGUAUCCCACCUGGGGAGUACGUUCGCAAGAAUGAAACUCAAAGGAAUUGACGGGGGCCCGCACAAGCGGUGGAGCAUGUGGUUUAAUUCGAUGAUACGCGAGGAACCUUACCAAGGCUUAAAUGUAGAUUGACCGGUUUGGAAACAGACUUUUCGCAAGACAAUUUACAAGGUGCUGCAUGGUUGUCGUCAGCUCGUGCCGUGAGGUGUCAGGUUAAGUCCUAUAACGAGCGCAACCCCUGUUGUUAGUUGCCAGCGAGUCAUGUCGGGAACUCUAACGAGACUGCCAGUGCAAACUGAGAGGAAGGUGGGGAUGACGUCAAGUCCUCAUGGCCCUUAUGGCCAGGGCUUCACACGUAAUACAAUGGUCGGUACAGAG
rnacentral:rRNA from 1 species